rnacentral:tRNA from 1 species
GGUCUUAUAUUCAAUAAUGAUUUUAGAUUGCAAGUCUAAAGGUGGGGUAUCUCUAAGUCCU